UAAUACGAAGGGGGCUAGCGUUGUUCGGAAUUACUGGGCGUAAAGGGCGCGUAGGCUGUGCUGUAAGUCAGGCGUGAAAUCCCCGGGCUCAACCUGGGAAUUGCGUUUGAUACUGCGGCGCUGGAAUGCAGGAGAGGAUGGCGGAAUUCCCAGUGUAGAGGUGAAAUUCGUAGAUAUUGGGAAGAACACCGGUGGCGAAGGCGGCCAUCUGGCCUGUAAUUGACGCUGAGGCGCGAAAGCGUGGGGAGCAAACAGGAUUAGAUACCCUGGUAGUCCACGCCGUAAACGAUGAGUGCUAGACGUCGGGGAGCUUGCUCUUCGGUGUCGCCGCUAACGCAUUAAGCACUCCGCCUGGGGAGUACGGUCGCAAGAUUA
rnacentral:rRNA from 1 species